GCGCGAGUAGCUCAACGGAUAGAGCAUCUGACUACGGAUCAGAAGGUUGGGGGUUCGAAUCCCUUCUCGCGCA
rnacentral:tRNA from 3 species